UAAAAUUAGACUCACAAACCAAACAUUUCAGGACAGGGUUGGUUCAAUGAGAGGAGGCAUAGAGUUCAUGGAGCUAUGUGGGUUUGAGAAAAUUGAAGGAGAGUUCUUGUUCUUACCUAGAGACAAGAUCGAUUCAGCCAUUAUCAACUCAACUGGAACAGAGCUCAAUUUCGCCAUCAACAACCCUUUCUUUGGAGUUCUUUAAAUCGAUGCAAUGUCUUCUUGUGUCAAAUUAUGAAAACUUUUUAAAAGAACAAAAAAAUUCGGAUA